UACGUAGGGUGCAAGCGUUGUCCGGAAUUAUUGGGCGUAAAGAGCUCGUAGGCGGUCUGUUGCGUCCGCUGUGAAAACUCGGGGCUUAACCCCGAGCCUGCAGUGGAUACGGGCAGACUAGAGGUAGGUAGGGGAGAAUGGAAUUCCCGGUGUAGCGGUGAAAUGCGCAGAUAUCAGGAGGAACACCGAUGGCGAAGGCAGGUCUCUGGGCAUUAACUGACGCUGAGGAGCGAAAGCAUGGGGAGCGAACAGG
rnacentral:rRNA from 1 species